CAUUUUCUAUGUCAAAGAGUACACAAUAAUUCAAGAAACAAUAUGAAAAAAGAAAAAACAUUAUUAAACUCUAACAAAGAUAAUAUUAAUUACACAAAACUCAUAUAAGAAGUUAAUCAAAUAAGGAAGUAUUGUACUAGAGAUUUAACAGGUAAUCUGUAAUAUAAGCCUACAUUAAUUUAUAAAUAAACAUAGAUACAUAUAUUUUAAAAGAUAAUCAGAGAGAUAUUUUAUUCUUUAUCUGAAGGGAAAUUAGGACAAGUACAUAAUGCGCCAUUAAAUUUAGGAUUUUAUCAUUUUAUACUUGAGUGUCGUAAAAAUGACCUGGGUUUCAUAUUAUUUUUCAUAGAAUAGAGAUUUAAAGAAUGACAUUUCAGUGGAAAACCUCUUGUCUAUACAAUCCAAAGAGUAAUGCAUCAUGUUCUUCAGAUGGGAGCAAAAAUACUUCCUGUGUUACAUCCAUGGUGGUCCAUCCGAAUCAUUGCCAUGAGAUCUGGGAAGCAUUGGGAACCAGAACAACAUGAAGCUCGUUGUACCAUUUUUGCUAUAUUUUUGUUUUAUAAUUAACUAAGUGGAACAUUUCAUCCUCUGCUUGAAUUGAGAAAUCCAAA